rnacentral:hammerhead_ribozyme from 1 species
AUCCGGCUGACAUAUCCAAAAUGAGACGAAACGCGCUUCCUGGAU